rnacentral:ncRNA from 1 species
CUGACGACGGCGCAUGGGUGGAGAUAGGUGUUGAGCGCCCAUUGCCCCUCAGGACCGAAAAGCGGUUUCGGUUGGGGCAGCGCCUGAACGUCAG